CCGACGUUUGGGAACCGUGCACGCCGACUGAAAGCAAAGCUCAGCUGACCUGCGAGGAGUCCCCGGGGAGCUGCCGCGGUGGUCGCCGUUGAGUCCGUCCGUGCCGCUGGGGCCGAGGCAGCUGGAGGGAGAAGUGAAAAAAAUUAAUGAGAAAGAAGGCUUGAGUUACAAAAUCAGAAAUUUCAUCAGCUAGUCUACCUCUCUGCCGCCUUCUUCUCUGCCUGGGGUCUCUGCCAGAGUGGGCAGCACAGGAAGCUGCUGGACUCUAGGUGCCUUGCCGCCCUCAGAAACUCCACAUUUCACAAAAUGGUCAGAUGCCAAUGCAAAUUAAUGACAUGUGGUCAACGGGCUGAUGGGCACGGCUGUGGGACCCCAUCAUUCCCCUGCCCCGCAUGACUCUGCUCUCCCAGCUCGACUGCUCACUUCAGACUUCCCUUAUGGAAGGAGUUGCCAGAUAGAGCAAGUAAAAUACAGUGUGCCAGACACAGGUUUAUUUCAACACUGGGAAGGCUCCAUUCCUACUUAAACCCAGCAGGGAACAGGGAGCGGUGUGCAGAGGAGGUGGCCUGCCCGGGAAGCCGGCCUUGGUGCUGGGACUGCAGGGAGAGGGCUGUGAGGAAGAGCACAGGCUUCAUGCACAUUGCACAGAGGAGGAGAUUCAUGGGGACAGCAGGCACUGGUUAGGCACAGCGGGAAGGUUAUCGAAGACAAAACACAUUUCUACCCAAGUUUAAAUGACCUGCUAUGCCCACAGAGCUUGAUCCAGAAGUGCACAGUAGAGACGGGGUUUCACCAUGUUAGCCAGGAUGGUCUCGAUCUCCUGACCUCGUGAUCUGCCCGCCUCAGCCUCCCAAAGUGCUGGGAUUACAGGAGUGAGCCACCGCUCCCGGCCCAGAACUUUUAAUAAAUAUAAAUACACAGGUAAUUUUAACACAUAUUCCUGAUGAAAUCAUUAUUAUCUGCAAUGCUUUCAUUCUGCUUUUUCUCUUAACAAUGGCAUAAACAUUUUUCAAGGUCAAUAAAUGUUUUUCAAAAUCGCA
rnacentral:lncRNA from 1 species